AUUGAACGCUGGCGGCAGGCCUAACACAUGCAAGUCGAGCGGAUGAAGGGAGCUUGCUCCUGGAUUCAGCGGCGGACGGGUGAGUAAUGCCUAGGAAUCUGCCUGGUAGUGGGGGAUAACGUCCGGAAACGGGCGCUAAUACCGCAUACGUCCUGAGGGAGAAAGUGGGGGAUCUUCGGACCUCACGCUAUCAGAUGAGCCUAGGUCGGAUUAGCUAGUUGGUGGGGUAAAGGCCUACCAAGGCGACGAUCCGGAACUGGUCUGAGAGGAUGAUCAGUCACCCUGGAACUGAGACACGGUACAGACUCCUACGGUAGGCAGCAGUGGGGAAUAUUGGACAAUGGGCGAGAGCCUGAUCCAGCCAUGCCGCGUGUGUGAAGAAGGUCUUCUGAUUGUAAAGCACUGAAAGUUGGGAGGAAGUGAAGUAAUUUAACACCUUACUGUUUUGACGUUACCAACAGAAUAAGCACCGGCUAACUUCGUG
rnacentral:rRNA from 1 species